rnacentral:lncRNA from 1 species
AUAGAGGCAAGAUGGUAUCGCGAGAGGGGCGACAGAGGAGGAUCAGGGCGGACGUCCAUCGGGACGAGGUGGGUGAGAAAGGGGAAUGGGAUGAAUUUGCGCCGUGACAGCCGCGCAAGGGUGCAACGACGCCGACGCAGGAUCCACGGAAACCCGGAACCGCGGCUGGGAUGCCCGUACACCAUUUUCGCUCGAUUCGAGAGGCGAAGACACUUUUACUUAUGUCCGAUCGCUUGUUCCGAACCUAUCGCCGUCUAUCCUCGGUAACGUCAUAAACUUCGCUAGUUAUUUGCCAGCGGUUCUCGUGUCGUUGUGUCGCGUUGUUCAAGAGGAUCGUUCGUUCCCCGAGUUGCUGCGGCGAAAUCCGGCGAUCGACGCUUUCUGCUGUUCAAACGGUUUCCCCAUGUGGCGAAGAAGAGUUAUCGCUGUUCGUUCACCGCCUCACCUACGGCCCAUCAAAGCAGCUGGAAAACGAGACGGCAUGGACUAGCCGCUCGGGCC